rnacentral:rRNA from 1 species
GCGUGCUUAACACAUGCAAGUCGAACGAUGAUGCCCAGCUUGCUGGGCGGAUUAGUGGCGAACGGGUGAGUAAUACGUGAGUAACCUGCCCUUGACUCUGGGAUAAGCCUGGGAAANNNNNUCUAAUACUGGAUACUACCUCUUACCGCAUGGUGGGUGGUGGAAAGGGUUUUACUGGUUUUGGAUGGGCUCACGGCCUAUCAGCUUGUUGGUGGGGUAAUGGCUCACCAAGGCGACGACGGGUAGCCGGCCUGAGAGGGUGACCGGCCACACUGGGACUGAGACACGGCCCAGACUCCUACGGGAGGCAGCAGUGGGGAAUAUUGCACAAUGGGCGGAAGCCUGAUGCAGCGACGCCGCGUGAGGGAUGACGGCCUUCGGGUUGUAAACCUCUUUCAGUAGGGAAGAAGCGAGAGUGACGGUACCUGCAGAAGAAGCGCCGGCUAACUACGUGCCAGCAGCCGCGGUAAUACGUAGGGCGCAAGCGUUGUCCGGAAUUAUUGGGCGUAAAGAGCUCGUAGGCGGUUUGUCGCGUCUGCUGUGAAAGCCCGGGGCUCAACCCCGGGUCUGCAGUGGGUACGGGCAGACUAGAGUGCAGUAGGGGAGACUGGAAUUCCUGGUGUAGCGGUGAAAUGCGCAGAUAUCAGGAGGAACACCGAUGGCGAAGGCAGGUCUCUGGGCUGUUACUGA